UGAGUACGAGACGCUAAGGCGUUGAAGCAGUGUAUGUCAGACUUCCAAGAAAAGCUCGCAAUGUCAUAAACAAGAAAUGCCUGUACCAUAACCGACACAGGUGGUUAGGUAGAGUAUACUAAGGGGCGCGAGAUAACUCUCUCUAAGGAACUCGGCAAAAUGACUCCGUAACUUCGGGAGAAGGAGUGCCUUAUUUCAUAAGGUUGCAAUAACAAGAUCCAAGCAACUGUUUACCAAAAACACAGGUCUCCGCUAAGUCGUAAGACGAUGUAUGGGGGCUGACGCCUGCCCAGUGCCAGAAGGUUAAAGAAGUUGGUUAGCCUAGCGAAGCUGAUGACUGAAGCCCUGGUGAACGGCGGCCGUAACAAUAACGGUCCUAAGGUAGCGAAACUCCUUGUCGGGUAAGUUCCGACCCGCACGAAAGGCGUAAUGAUUUGGAUACUGUCUCGGAGAGGGGCUCGGUGAAAUAGACUUGUCUGUGAAGAUGCGGACUACCUGCACCUGGACAGAAAGACCCUAUGAAGCUUUACUGUAACUUGAGAUUGAAAUUGGACUUUAUUUGCGCAGUAUAGGUGGGAGACGUUGAGAAUACUCUUGCGGGAGUAUUGGAGUCAUCAGUGAGAUACCACUCUUGUAAUGUUAGAUUUCUAACUUUGGAUCAUUAUCUGGUCAAAGGACAGUUUCAGGCGGGCAGUUUGACUGGGGCGGUCGCCUCCCAAACGGUAACGGAGGCGCACAAAGGUUUCCUCUGAACGUGUAGAAAUCGUAUCUAGAGUGUAAAGGCAUAAGGAAGCUUGACUGUGAGACCUACAAGUCGAGCAGGGACGAAAGUCGGUCUUAGUGAUCUGACGGUGCUGAGUGGAAAGGCCGUCACUCAACGGAUAAAAGUUACUCUAGGAUAACAGGCUGAUCUCCCCCAAGAGUUCACAUCGACGGGGAGGUUUGGCACCUCGAUGUCGGCUCAUCGCAUCCUGGGGCGGUAGUACGUCCCAAGGGUUGGGCUGUUCGCCCAUGAAAGCGGUACGCGAGCUGGGUUCAGAACGUCGUGAGACAGUUCGGUCCAUAUCCGGUGUAGGCGUUAGAAUAUUGAGAGGAGCCUUCUUUAGUACGAGAGGACCGAGAAGGACAUACCUCUGGUGUACCAGUUAUCGUGCCAACGGUAAACGCUGGGUAGCUAUGUAUGGAGUGGAUAACCGCUGAAAGCAUCUAAGUGGGAAGCCCACCUCAAGAUAAG
rnacentral:rRNA from 1 species